rnacentral:rRNA from 1 species
AGCAUAUCAAUAAGCGGAGGAAAAGAAACCAACAGGGAUUGCCUCAGUAACGGCGAGUGAAGCGGCAACAGCUCAAAUUUGAAAUCUGGCCUCUUUGGGGUCCGAGUUGUAAUUUGUAGAGGAUGUUUCGGGUACCGCCUCGGUCUAAAUUUCUUGGAACAGAAUGUCAAAGAGGGUGAGAAUCCCGUCUUGGAUCGGCGGUAGGGCCCAUGUGAAACUCCUUCGACGAGUCGAGUUGUUUGGGAAUGCAGCUCAAAAUGGGUGGUAUAUUUCAUCUAAAGCUAAAUAUUGGCCAGAGACCGAUAGCGCACAAGUAGAGUGAUCGAAAGAUGAAAAGCACUUUGAAAAGAGAGUUAAACAGUAUGUGAAGUUGUUGAAAGGGAAGCGCUUGUAACCAGACUUGAGCGCGGCGGUUCCCCCUUCCUUUUGGCUGGGUUACUCCGCCGCGUCCAGGCCAACAUCGGUUCUGGGGGUCGGUUAAAGGCUCUGGGAAUGUAUCUACCCUCCGGGCGUAGACUUAUAGCCCAGGGUGUCAUGCGGCCUCCCGGGACCGAGGAACGCGCUUCGGCUCGGAUGUUGGCGUAAUGGUUGUCAGCGACCCGU